UACGAAGGGUGCAAGCGUUACUCGGAAUUACUGGGCGUAAAGCGUGCGUAGGUGGUGAGUUAAGUCUGUCGUGAAAGCCCUGGGCUCAACCUGGGAAUUGCAGUGGAUACUGGCAAGCUAGAGUGCGGUAGAGGAUGGUGGAAUUCCCGGUGUAGCGGUGAAAUGCGUAGAGAUCGGGAGGAACACCCGUGGCGAAGGCGGCCAUCUGGGACCAGCACUGACGCUGAGGCACGAAAGCGUGGGGAGCAAACAGG
rnacentral:rRNA from 1 species